rnacentral:ncRNA from 1 species
GAACGCAUGAGCCGGUGCCCCUUUCUCUUCUCAUCAUCUUCUGGAUCAUGACGAGGGAGAGGUGGCUGAGAUCAUACGGCCUCGGAACUUGAUCUGGAUAAUACCAGCGAAAGGAUCAUGCUUCUCGCUCCU